UACAGAGGGUGCAAGCGUUAAUCGGAAUUACUGGGCGUAAAGCGUGCGUAGUCGGUUAUUUAAGUCGGAUGUGAAAUCCCCGGGCUCAACCUGGGAAUUGCAUUCGAUACUGGAUAGCUAGAGUUCGGCAGAGGGAAGCGGAAUUUCGGGUGUAGCGGUGAAAUGCGUAGAUAUCCGAAGGAACAUCAGUGGCGAAAGCGGCUUCCUGGACCAGAACUGACGAUCAGGCACGAAAGCGUGGGGAAGCAAACAGGG
rnacentral:rRNA from 1 species